AAUUAAAGACAAAUUUUAUUUUUAAUACUAAAUGCCUAAUCUGAAAAUCACGCCUCCAUCUCUCUGAACUCUCUCUGCUGGAACCAAGCCAGCGCCGCCGCCCCUCCCUCCCGUGUCCGGCGUCAUCACAUCACUGUAGGAACCCGAGACCCCCCCCCCCCACCCUGCUGCAGUAGACCCAGUCCCGCAGGCACGCCCAGUCGCUCGCCUCCGAGCUCCGGCAGCGGCGUUCCAAAGUCAAGGCCACUAGCAACAUUUGCACUGCUCGAUGAUCUUCCGUUUCUCCAAGUAGCAAAGUCGAAAAUGCAGAAGACCAGCUUCAGUCUCGUACAGACCGUUUCUACAGCCGCUAUCUUCUCCGGCGUCUCCUUUUGGUAUGGGUUCAUGUUUGGCAGAGAAUCAGCACGGAAGGAGCUUGGUGAUCUGAUUGAAACCCUCCGCGGCGCUGGCUCCGGUCCUGCUCCGCCGGAACACUCCUAGAACGGUUUUCAGGUGGGCUGUAUAAAGUGAAGUGGCAAAUUUUUUUAUUUGGUCUUUAAUGUCAAGUAGAUUCAGCUGUCGAAGGUACUCAAGACUGGUCAAAAGCUUCAGGUGUAAUGCACUCUGGAAGCAUGUAUUUCUUCUACAUUCUAAUGCUCUUCCAGUGUCGGCUAAGAGCUGUUAACUGCCCAUUGCUUAAAAGCUGAAUUCUGUUAAUAGUAAACUUGGGUUGCUAGAAACGGUGCAUGUUUGUCUUUAUUAGUUCAAUGGAUACCUCAAAUUCUAAAGACCACUCUACAAGCUUGCUUGCAGACUUGGCUAUUCCCUAGACCCAAUAAAAUGGGAUUAUAAUUGUUUAUUAUAAUUCCAGCUUUGAGAUGAUAGUUUAA